rnacentral:misc_RNA from 1 species
AUUUCUAUGGGGAUCUCAAUAUAGGGAAUUUUUAUAUUAGAUCGUGAAUGCGGAUACAUUCUUCAAUCAUAUGAAUAAAGCACUUGAAAAACAAAUCCAAUUGGUGGCUUAUCAGUUGAAACUUGAAAGAUGGUACAUCUGCUUGGAGGGAAUGGCUACAGUCUAAAAGAAAGCGAGAAGGGAAAGGAUCAAUUUGUACGAAGUUUAUAAUGAAGUAUUUGUUGAA